UUGUUGGAGAGUUUGAUCCUGGCUCAGGACGAACGCUGGCGGCGUGCUUAACACAUGCAAGUCGAG
rnacentral:ncRNA from 1 species